ACUCGAGUGGCGAACGGGUGAGUAACACGUGGGUGAUCUGCCCUGCACUCUGGGAUAAGCCUGGGAAACUGGGUCUAAUACCGGAUAGGACCAUGCUUUAGUGUGUGUGGUGGAAAGUUUUUUCGGUGUAGGAUGAGCCCGCGGCCUAUCAGCUUGUUGGUGGGGUAAUGGCCUACCAAGGCGUCGACGGGUAGCCGGCCUGAGAGGGUGUACGGCCACAUUGGGACUGAGAUACGGCCCAG
rnacentral:rRNA from 1 species